UCAGGAUGAACGCUGGCGGCGUGCCUAACACAUGCAAGUCGAACGAAGCACUUAGACAGAACCUUCGGGUGACGUAUGGUGACUGAGUGGCGGACGGGUGAGUAACGCGUGGGUAACCUGCCCUGUACAGGGGGAUAACAGUUAGAAAUGACUGCUAAUACCGCAUAAGCGCACGAUGGUAGCAUUACCAGGUGUGAAAAAACUCCGGUGGUACAGGAUGGGCCCGCGUCUGAUUAGCUAGUUGGCGGGGUAAGAGCCCACCAAGGCGACGAUCAGUAGCCGGUCUGAGAGGAUGAACGGCCACAUUGGAACUGAGACACGGUCCAAACUCCUACGGGAGGCAGCAGUGGGGAAUAUUGCACAAUGGGGGGAACCCUGAUGCAGCCAACGCCGCGUGAGUGACGAAGUAUUUCGGUAUGUAAAGCUCUAUCAGCAGGGAAGAUAAUGACGGUACCUGACUAAGAAGCUCCGGCUAAAUACGUGCCAGCCGCGGC
rnacentral:rRNA from 1 species